GACGAACGCUGGCGGCGUGCUUAACACAUGCAAGUCGAACGAUGAACCGGUUUCGGCCGGGGAUUAGUGGCGAACGGGUGAGUAACACGUGGGCAAUCUGCCCUGCACUCUGGGAUAAGCCCGGGAAACUGGGUCUAAUACCGGAUACGACACUCCGAGGCAUCUUGGGGUGUGGAAAGUUCCGGCGGGGCAGGAUGAGCCCGCGGCCUAUCAGCUUGUUGGUGGGGUAAUGGCCUACCAAGGCGACGACGGGUAGCCGGCCUGAGAGGGUGACCGGCCACACUGGGACUGAGACACGGCCCAGACUCCUACGGGAGGCAGCAGUGGGGAAUAUUGCACAAUGGGCGAAAGCCUGAUGCAGCGACGCCGCGUGAGGGAUGACGGCCUUCGGGUUGUAAACCUCUUUCAGCAGGGAAGAAGCGAAAGUGACGGUACCUGCAGAAGAAGCACCGGCUAACUACGUG
rnacentral:rRNA from 1 species